CGGGAGGCAGCAGUGGGGAAUAUUGGACAAUGGGCGAAAGCCUGAUCCAGCCAUGCCGCGUGUGUGAAGAAGGUCUUCGGAUUGCAAAGCACUUUAAGUUGGGAGGAAGGGCAGUAAGCUAAUACCUUGCUGUUUUGACGUUACCAACAGAAUAAGCACCGGCUAACUUCGUG
rnacentral:rRNA from 1 species